UACAGGGGGUGCAAACGUCGCUCGGAAUUAUUGGGCGUAAAGCGCGCGUAGGCGGCUACCUAAGUCGGAUGUGAAAGCCCCUGGCUUAACUGGGGAAGUGCACCCGAAACUGGGUAGCUAGAGUGCAAAAGAGGGUCGCGGAAUUCCCGGUGUAGAGGUGAAAUUCGUAGAUAUCGGGAGGAACACCGGUGGCGAAGGCGGCGACCUGGGUUGACACUGACGCUGAGGCGCGAAAGCGUGGGGAGCAAACAGG
rnacentral:rRNA from 1 species